rnacentral:SRP_RNA from 1 species
GGCUUAGUCUUUUAUAUGAUUUGAAAAAUUAUUUAAAAUGUCAGAAUUGAAAGGUAGCAGCAUAAAAUAUUUCUUUUAAAUUAGUAUUUAAGCUAAGUCUUA